UACGGGGGGGGCAAGCGUUGUUCGGAAUUACUGGGCGUAAAGGGCUCGUAGGCGGCCAACUAAGUCAGACGUGAAAUCCCUCGGCUUAACCGGGGAACUGCGUCUGAUACUGGAUGGCUGGAGUCUGGGAGAGGGAUGCGGAAUUCCAGGUGUAGCGGUGAAAUGCGUAGAUAUCUGGAGGAACACCGGUGGCGAAGGCGGCAUCCUGGACCAACACUGACGCUGAGGAGCGAAAGCCAGGGGAGCAAACGGG
rnacentral:rRNA from 1 species